UACGUAGGGGGCUAGCGUUGUCCGGAAUCAUUGGGCGUAAAGAGCGUGUAGGCGGUCCAGUAAGUCCGCUGUGAAAGUCGGGGGCUCAACCCUCGAAUGCCGGUGGAUACUGUCGGGCUAGAGUGCGGAAGAGGCGAGUGGAAUUCCUGGUGUAGCGGUGAAAUGCGCAGAUAUCAGGAGGAACACCUAUGGCGAAGGCAGCUCGCUGGGACGGUACUGACGCUGAGGCGCGAAAGCGUGGGGAGCGAACAGG
rnacentral:rRNA from 1 species